GAUGAACGCUGACAGAAUGCUUAACACAUGCAAGUCAACUUGAACUUCGGUUUGGGUGGCGGACGGGUGAGUAACGCGUAAAGAACUUGCCUCACAGUUAGGGACAACAUUUGGAAACGAAUGCUAAUACCUGAUAUUAUGAUUUUAGGGCAUCCUAGAAUUAUGAAAGCUAUAUGCGCUGUGAGAGAGCUUUGCGUCCCAUUAGCUAGUUGGAGAGGUAACGGCUCACCAAGGCGAUGAUGGGUAGCCGGCCUGAGAGGGUGAACGGCCACAAGGGGACUGAGACACGGCCCUUACUCCUACGGGAGGCAGCAGUGGGGAAUAUAGGACAAUGGACCAAGAGUCUGAUCCAGCAAUUCGGUGUGCACGAUGAAGUUUUUCGGAAUGUAAAGUGCUUUCAGUUGGGAAGAAAAAAAUGACGGUACCAACAGAAGAAGUGACGGCUAAAUACGU
rnacentral:rRNA from 1 species